UACUCCUACGGGAGGCAGCAGUGGGGAAUAUUGGACAAUGGGGGGAACCCUGAUCCAGCCAUGCCGCGUGUGUGAAGAAGGCCUUAUGGUUGUAAAGCACUUUAAGCGAGGAGGAGGCUACUGAGACUAAUACUCUUGGAUAGUGGACGUUACUCGCAGAAUAAGCACCGGCUAACUCUGUGCCAGCAGCCGCGGUAAUACAGAGGGUGCGAGCGUUAAUCGGAUUUACUGGGCGUAAAGCGUGCGUAGGUGGCUUUUUAAGUCGGAUGUGAAAUCCCCGAGCUUAACUUGGGAAUUGCAUUCGAUACUGGGAAGCUAGAGUAUGGGAGAGGAUGGUAGAAUUCCAGGUGUAGCGGUGAAAUGCGUAGAGAUCUGGAGGAAUACCGAUGGCGAAGGCAGCCAUCUGGCCUAAUACUGACGCUGAGGUACGAAAGCAUGGGGAGCAAACAGGAUUAGAUACCCUGGUAGUCCAUGCCGUAAACGAUGUCUACUAGCCGUUGGGGCCUUUGAGGCUUUAGUGGCGCAGCUAACGCGAUAAGUAGACCGCCUGGGGAGUACGGUCGCAAGACUAAAACUCAAAUGAAUUGACGGGGGCCCGCACAAGCGGUGGAGCAUGUGGA
rnacentral:rRNA from 1 species